GGCCAUCAAACAGGAACGACAGCCUUAAAUUUUCCUGUAGAUAUACUUCCUUUCUCUAAAAUGCUGAUCAGGUCUCGUUUCUUUAUUAUUGUGUUCAGUUUAGUGUGUUGCUUUAAGAAAAAAAAACAUGUUGUUUUGAUUGCUUUGUUUUCUCACAGUUUUUACUGCCUAGACUGGUACUAGGGGACCCUCAUUUUCCUGCUCUGGAGAAUUGACUGUAUAUCUCAUCUCUUCAAAUUGUGCCCAAGCUACAGGAUUAGAAACUUGCAAAUGAGGAUAUUCACUAACCCUUCUGCUUCAGCUGUGUGUCUGUAAGGAGAAUUGAGUGGUCAGUGGGCAAGGUGGGUAGCUGACAUUUGUUUAAGGGUUAGACUGGUUGCUUAGGCCAAACAAACUUGGCUCCUGUUUGCUCUGUCAGCUCCCUGAUCUUUCACCUGGGUUUCAUUUGAAUGGGCUGCAGAAAUACUUUAACUGCAGUUGUGCCCACUUCCCCUGACUUUGGUGUCUUUCACAGCCUUUGCCUUGGCAGUAGAAAGAGAGAACUCCUUCCCCUGACAGACUUGGAGCUUUCCUGAGCCUGUGUGAUAGGGCAGCUUGAUCCAUAGUUUCUAAAGCAUUCUCUAGAAGGAAAAUCAGGCCAUGAUGUUCCUGCUACACAGCCAUAUGUUAAGCUUAGUAUAACAUUGAAUUUAGGAGGAGGCUCAAAGAAACAGAUAAAUUGUCACUACACUGGUUAAAUUUGCCAGGACAGGAGCCAUCUCUCUUGAAUUCAGUUUUGGUUGCUGAAACUGAAGACAAAGAAUUCUCUCUAUUGCAACAAAACAGCUCAUGCUGGCUUGUGGAGAUGACAUUGAUGCAUGCAGAACAUAUGCACAGAAGGGUAGAAAUUUAUUCUAAUAAUGAAAUCAGGCAGUGUCCUCUGUUCUGAACUUCUGCUUAUUUGUGUUAUUAACUCAUACUGAACUGAUGUUCCUAACAUUGGGAUGUUCCUAACAUAGGGAUGAUGUUCCUAACACCGUAACUUCUUAUUAUUUAAAAGACACAUGAAAUAGAUCUUUACAAUAAGAUAUAUGUGGUUUAUCACCAGGGAAAAAAGAGUUUGCAUUUUUUGUAACUUUUAAAAAAUAGUGUUUAUUUUAUGUAGGAGAGAAGCACUAAUUUAGAUACUAAAGUGAGGGGGUUGGCUCUUCAGCUAAUGAACAAUGAGAAUUCAUUCUGUACUAAUACUUGCGCAUUUUAAAACAAAAAGUCUGAGAAGUACAUGGAUUCUAGGGACAAAAUUACUGUCUGCUCAGAAUUUUAUAUUUAAUUAACUCCCUUUUGCUGUUGAUAUACAAUGCUGCACUUUAAAAUACCAAUAAAUACUGGUUAUGCAAGUAAACAUAAAAAUGAGAGGUGUACUGAGCAAUAACUUUGGCUAAACAUUGCUAGGGAAAGUAGGAGAAGGCACUUGGGGAGGGGAAGAAAAGACUUAGCAAUCAGUAUUUUCAGAGAAUUUUUGACCAAUAUUUUACAGUAAGAAAAAUAUCUGUGACCAGGAGAGCGCUGCCAACAUCUGUCAAUCUGAGGGGACUGUAGAAUGUAUACUCUGAUUUUUCAGCUCUUUUUCAGCAAGGCUUUAGAAGAGAGUAUUAUGCAACACAUAAAUGUGUCUUUGUUUUAAUGUGGUGGUUCUUUGACGCUUUCAGUGAUAAUGUUGGUAGCUCAAAAUAGCUGUACUGCACUGUCUGCUCUAGCAGCAGUUACAGUGGAUUAUAGAACAUUUUCUAUAUAAUAAACAG